rnacentral:rRNA from 1 species
GACGGGGGGAGCAAGCGUUGUUCGGAUUUACUGGGCGUAAAGGGCGUCUAGGCGGGCUUUCAAGUCGAAUGUGAAACCCCACGGCUCAACCGUGGAUCUGCAUUUGAUACUGUUAGUCUUGAGUACGGAAGAGGAAAGCGGAAUUCCAGGUGUAGCGGUGAAAUGCGUAGAUAUCUGGAAGAACACCGGUGGCGAAGGCGGCUUUCUGGUCCGAUACUGACGCUGAAGCGCGAAAGUGCGGGGAG